GUGCCAGCCGCCGCGGUAAUACGGAGAGUGCAAGCGUUGUUCGGAAUUACUGGGCUUAAAGCGCGUGUAGGCGGGAUGUCAGGUAUUCUGUGAAAUCCCCGGGCUCAACCCGGGAACUGCAGGGUAAACCGGCAUUCUUGAGGCAGGUAGAGGUCACUGGAACAAGUGGUGGAGCGGUGAAAUGCGUAGAUAUCACUUGGAACGCCGGAGGCGAAAGCGGGUGACUGGACCUGUCCUGACGCUGAGACGCGAAAGCGUGGGUAGCGAACAGGAUUAGAUACCCUGGUAGUCCACGCCGUAAACGAUGCGCACUAGGUAUGAGAGGCUCUGACGCCGAUCGUGCCGUAGGGAAACUGAUAAGUGCGCCGCCUGGGGAGUACGGCCGCAAGGCUAAAACUCAAAGGAAUUGACGGGGGCUCACACAAGCGGUGGAGCAUGUGGAUUAAUUCGAAGCAACGCGAAGAACCCUACCUGGGUUUGACAUGUUUGGAUGCCCUUCCAGAAACGGAAGUAAGCUGCCUUCGGGUGAAACUUACACAGGUGCUGCAUGGCUGUCGUCAGCUCGUGCUGUGAAGUGUCGGGUUAAGUCCCUUAACGAGCGAAACCCCUAUCGUUAGUUGCCAGCGGGUCAUGCCGGGGACUCUAGCGAGACUGCCGGUGUUAAACCGGAGGAAGGUGGGGACGACGUCAAGUCAUCAUGGCCCUUAUGCCCAGGGUGUCGCACGUGCUACAAUGGCCGGUACAGAGCGAAGCGAGAUCGCGAGAUGGAGCAAAUCGCACAAAGCCGGCCUCAGUUCGGAUUGGAGUCUGCAACCCGACUCCAUGAAGUUGGAAUCGCUAGUAAUCGCGUAUCAGCCACGACGCGGUGAAUAUGUUCCUGAGCCUUGCACACACCGCCCGUC
rnacentral:rRNA from 1 species